rnacentral:tRNA from 1 species
GCUGUGGCUCAGUGGUAGAGCACCUCCUUGGCAUGCAGAUGGUCCCAGUUUCAAUCCCCGGUAUCAUAGGCA